AGCAGCCGCGGUAAUUCCAGCUCCAAUAGCGUAUAUUAAAGUUGUUGCAGUUAAAAAGCUCGUAGUUGAACUUCAGGCCUGGCUGGGUGGUCAGCCUAUCGGCAUGUACUGUCUGGCCGGGUCUUACUUCUUGGUGAGCCGGUGUGCCCUUUAUUGGGUGCGUCGGUGAACCAGGACCUUUACCUUGAGAAAAU
rnacentral:rRNA from 1 species